AACGAACGCUGGCGGCAUGCCUUACACAUGCAAGUCGAACGGCAGCGGGGACUUCGGUCCGCCGGCGAGUGGCGAACGGGUGAGUAAUGUAUCGGAACGUACCAUUCAGUGGGGGAUAACUAUCCGAAAGGAUAGCUAAUACCGCAUAUUCUGUGAGCAGGAAAGCAGGGGAUCGCAAGACCUUGCGCUGAUUGAGCGGCCGAUAUCAGAUUAGCUAGUUGGUGAGGUAACGGCUCACCAAGGCUACGAGCUGUAGCGGGUCUGAGAAGAUGAUCCGCCACACUGGGACUGAGACACGGCCCAGACUCCUACGAGAGGCAGCAGUGGGGAAUUUUGGACAAUGGGCGCAAGCCUGAUCCAGCCAUGCCGCGUGAGUGAAGAAGGCCUUCGGGUUGUAAAGCUCUUUCGGCCGGGAAGAAAUCGCAUCAGCUAAUACCUGGUGUGGAUGACGGUACCGGAAUAAGAAGCACCGGCUAACUACGUGCCAGCAGCCGCAGUAACAC
rnacentral:rRNA from 1 species